rnacentral:rRNA from 1 species
AUUGAACGCUGGCGGCAUGCCUUACACAUGCAAGUCGAACGGCAGCGCGGACUUCGGUCUGGCGGCGAGUGGCGAACGGGUGAGUAAUACAUCGGAACGUACCCUGUUGUGGGGGAUAACUAGUCGAAAGAUUAGCUAAUACCGCAUACGACCUGAGGGUGAAAGUGGGGGACCGCAAGGCCUCACGCAGCAGGAGCGGCCGAUGUCUGAUUAGCUAGUUGGUGGGGGAAAGGCCCACCAAGGCGACGAUCAGUAGCUGGUCUGAGAGGACGAUCAGCCACACUGGGACUGAGACACGGACCAGACUCCUACGGGAGGCAGCAGUGGGGAAUUUUGGACAAUGGGGGCAACCCUGAUCCAGCAAUGCCGCGUGUGUGAAGAAGGCCUUCGGGUUGUAAAGCACUUUUGUCCGGAAAGAAAUCGCGCUGGUUAAUACCUGGCGUGGAUGACGGUACCGGAAGAAUAAGCACCGGCUAACUACGUGCCAGCAGCCGCAGUAA